AUUGAACGCUGGCGGCAGGCCUAACACAUGCAAGUCGAGCGGAUGAGUGGAGCUUGCUCCAUGAUUCAGCGGCGGACGGGUGAGUAAUGCCUAGGAAUCUGCCUGGUAGUGGGGGACAACGUUUCGAAAGGAACGCUAAUACCGCAUACGUCCUACGGGAGAAAGUGGGGGAUCUUCGGACCUCACGCUAUCAGAUGGGCCUAGGUCGGAUUAGCUAGUUGGUGAGGUAAAGGCUCACCAAGGCGACGAUCCGUAACUGGUCUGAGAGGAUGAUCAGUCACACUGGAACUGAGACACGGUCCAGACUCCUACGGGAGGCAGCAGUGGGGAAUAUUGGACAAUGGGCGAAAGCCUGAUCCAGCCAUGCCGCGUGUGUGAAGAAGGUCUUCGGAUUGUAAAGCACUUUAAGUUGGGAGGAAGGGCAGUAAGUUAAUACCUUGCUGUUUUGACGUUACCAACAGAAUAAGCACCGGCUAACUUCGUGCCAGCAGCCGCCGCAG
rnacentral:rRNA from 1 species